AGUUCAAGGCCAGCCUGGUCUACAAAUUGAAUCCAGGACAGCCAGGGCUAUAACAAAUAAAAACCUUGCCUCAAAAAACUAAAGAAAGAAAGAGAGAAUGAGAGAGAGAAAGAAAUUGUGGUUCUCAAUUGUGGUUCUCCCUUAGAUAACUCCGGUAUGCAUCAAGUUGAAACAAAACAAACAAACAAACAAAAACCAAAAAAAAAAAAAAACAGGAUAAUGGUGAUGACUGCCAAACUCUGAAUAUACUAAAAGCCAUGGAAUUGUUCUUUAAAUUAAGCAAAUUUCAUGUUAUAAAGAUCAGAGUUCAAUAAAAUUGUUUUUGUUAAGAUAAGUAGAAGAGUCUGGGUCUCAGAGAACCAUGCCACCCCACCAUACAAAGCCCUAAUAGUGUCAAUUACUUUAAAGACAGACUCUUUAUUCAGACACAUCAUUUGGGCUGAGUUGCUGAGAAGGAGAAAUUGAACAAGUUGGGGGUCCAUGGCAGGGCCAGGGGUGGUGGGGCCAGUGUCACAGGUACGCAGUGAAGCCAGUAUUUCCUUUAUGAAGCCAUGAAACAGGCUUUCUCUUCCUGAGGAAAAGCAAGUAAUGUUUUCUCACACCAUCAGAGACUAAAAGGCAAACCCAAGACACUGGAUUCUGCAGUUUCUGGGUAAAGUCAAAACCGGAACGUGAGGAGGCUCUACUAAGAGAAAUGCCAGGCAAACUUAGACAUAAUGGGAGAAGGCAGUGGAGAAAGAUCGAGGCGGCAAAUCCACAUCCCUUGGCACAAGCUUGGGAAGAGGCACCUGUGUUACAUGAAGAAGAGCAAUGGGCUAUUGGGAUGUAAGCUACUUGAGUAGGGAUGUCAGCUGGCUGGAUUUGGGAUGUGCUAUGUUCAAAGGGAAAUGGGAUUUUGUCUGGGAUUUUUGUGCUAUUUGUUUUUCUUUUGUUUUGUUUUAAGACAGUCUCAGGGAGCCCAGAGUAACCUGGAACUCACUAUGUAGUGGGAGACAGGAUUCUUGUGAGAAAUAUUUUAAGCAUUAUCUGGAAAGAAAAGCCUGACACGCAGUAGCUUGCACCACCACUUGGACUACCAUGUGGCAUGGUUCUCCUAAUAUAUUGAUCGUAAUAUUCUGGCUUCAUUUUCAACACUGAGGGUUGAACCCAGGGUCUUAUGCACACUAAACGGGCUCUUUACCCUAUCCUGUGGCUUUAGAUUUUAAAGCGAUAAUAAGUAAUAUAACAAAAAAAAUCAUACACAAGAAAAUUGUUCAAAUUUAGUAAUAAUGGUGGCUUGUAUACUUGCUUACAGUCUGCUUCGCCUAGAAAUAUUUUCUUAUGAUAACAGAACACUGCUGAAAGCAAUACUUGUAGUUUUCUUUAUGGCCACAUGAGUAAGGUUAAGGUCAUAGUUUUGUAUUACCAAAAUUAACCUGUAAGCUUCCCCUGCCCAAGGACCAAGUAACCUCCUGGAAUGCUGGGAGUUGUAGUUCUUAUAACAAAAGCCUCAUGGGAAAGUAUGGUGGCCUAUGGGUUUGUCUUUAUAAACCCCUGCAACAGUGUCUCAGGGCCAUUCAGCUUGGAAAUUCCAGGAAUGGCCUUGACCAAAGUCCAUCUCUUAGUCAGUACUUAAUAUUUAAUAAAGCUUGCUUCAAAUUUGGCCC
rnacentral:lncRNA from 1 species